UACGUAGGGGGCAAGCGUUGUCCGGAAUCAUUGGGCGUAAAGCGCGUGUAGGCGGCUUGGUAAGUCUGCUCUGAAAGCCCGGGGCUCAACCCCGGGAGGCGGGUGGAUACUGCUGAGCUCGAGUCCGGAAGAGGCGAGUGGAAUUCCUGGUGUAGCGGUGAAAUGCGCAGAUAUCAGGAGGAACACCAAUUGCGAAGGCAGCUCGCUGGGACGUUACUGACGCUGAGACGCGAAAGCGUGGGGAGCAAACAGG
rnacentral:rRNA from 1 species